UACGUAGGGGGCAAGCGUUGUCCGGAAUCAUUGGGCGUAAAGCGCGUGUAGGCGGCUCGAUAAGUCUGCUGUGAAAGUCCAAGGCUCAACCUUGGGAUGCCGGUGGAUACUGUCGAGCUCGAGUCCGGAAGAGGAGUGUGGAAUUCCUGGUGUAGCGGUGAAAUGCGCAGAUAUCAGGAGGAACACCAAUGGCGAAGGCAGCACUCUGGGACGUGACUGACGCUGAGACGCGAAAGCUAGGGGAGCAAACAGG
rnacentral:rRNA from 1 species